rnacentral:lncRNA from 1 species
UUAGUUGUCAGUCAAACUCGGCAAGACAUCGCAUCUUAUGCCUACGUAUCUCAUCUGAACAUGAGAAUCAGAUUUGUCGUAGUUCGGCUAACUAGGGGUUUGUUUUGGUUUUUUAGGUGAACGACGUUACUACGCAAUCUACCGGAUGCUCGACCUUUGGAGACUUACUCACCUGUAGUAGAAGGAGUUAACGUGUUCUUAGGGGAAGAAAAAUC